rnacentral:rRNA from 1 species
GAUUAGAUACCCUGGUAGUCCACGCUGUAAACGAUGUCGAUUUGGAGGUUGUGCCCUUGAGGCGUGGCUUCCGGAGCUAACGCGUUAAAUCGACCGCCUGGGGAGUACGGCCGCAAGGUUAAAACUCAAAUGAAUUGACGGGGGCCCGCACAAGCGGUGGAGCAUGUGGUUUAAUUCGAUGCAACGCGAAGAACCUUACCUACUCUUGACAUCCAGAGAACUUUCCAGAGAUGGAUUGGUGCCUUCGGGAACUCUGAGACAGGUGCUGCAUGGCUGUCGUCAGCUCGUGUUGUGAAAUGUUGGGUUAAGUCCCGCAACGAGCGCAACCCUUAUCCUUUGUUGCCAGCGGUUCGGCCGGGAACUCAAAGGAGACUGCCAGUGAUAAACUGGAGGAAGGUGGGGAUGACGUCAAGUCAUCAUGGCCCUUACGAGUAGGGCUACACACGUGCUACAAUGGCAUAUACAAAGAGAAGCGACCUCGCGAGAGCAAGCGGACCUCAUAAAGUAUGUCGUAGUCCGGAUUGGAGUCUGCAACUCGACUCCAUGAAGUCGGAAUCGCUAGUAAUCGUAGAUCAGAAUGCUACGGUGAAUACGUUCCCGGGCCUUGUACACACCGCCCGUCACACCAUGGGAGUGGGUUGCAAAAGAAGUAGGUAGCUUAACCUUCGGGAGGGCGCUUACCACUUUGUGAUUCAUGACUGGGGUGAAGUCGUAACAAGG